rnacentral:rRNA from 1 species
AGUCGAACGGUCCGAGCAAUCGGACAGUGGCGAACGGCGGAGUAAUACAUAAGCAACGUGCCCCAAAGACUGGGAUAGUCAGCCGAAAGGCUGGGUAAUACCGGAUGUGGCCCUUUCCGGACAUCUGGGAAGGAUUAAAUGGUUUUUCGCUUUGGGAGCGGCUUAUGGCCUAUCAGGUAGUUGGUGAGGUAACGGCUCACCAAGCCGACGACGGGUAGCGGGUCUGAGAGGAUGAACCGCUCGAGUGGGGAUGAGACACGGCCCACACACCUACGGGUGGCAGCAGUUGGGAAACCUUGCACAAUGGGGGCAACCCUGAUGCAGCGACGCCGCGUGGAGGAUGAAGGAUCUAGGUCUGUAAACUCCUUUUGUUGGGAAAGGAUUAGGACGGUACCCAACGAAUAAGCACCGGCUAACUACGUGCCAGCAGCCGCGGUAAGACGUAGGGUGCGAGCGUUGUCCGGAUUUACUGGGCGUAAAGAGCGCGUAGGCGGCUCGUUAAGUGUGAAGCUAAAUCUCCAGGCUCAACUUGGAAACUAUUUCGCAUACUGAUGAGCUAGAGGAAACGCAGAGGUUAGUGGAAACUCCUGGUGUAGCGGUGAAAUGCGUUGAUAUCAGGAGGAACACCCAUGGCGAAGGCAGCUAACUGGGCAUUAUCUGACGCUGAGGUGCGAAAGCGUGGGUAGCAAACAGGAUUAGAUACCCUGGUAGUCCACGCCCUAAACGAUGGAUACUAGGCGUAAGAGGUAUCGACCCCUCUUGUGCCGCAGCA